CACACACACACACACACACACACACACAGGUGUGUGUUCGCACCGGGCAACGAACCCAGCUGUUGCCCCACUCGGGCACUGUGUGCCGGCAACAGUUCUUGGCGACCCAGAUGGGACUCGAGGCUGAAAUUUAGCCUUGCCCGGACCCCUCCUGGUGGUCGAUGGAUUGUGGCAAUGACUGACGCCCAGCGUGCACCGGUGACUAUCAGGGGCCUCGGCGGAGACACAGUUUGAUCGACCCCGGAGGGCACAACGGUGCAACGCGCUCAAAUAGUGGAGAAGCAGUUGCGGGCGACGGUGCGGAUCCGGUCCCAUGGAUAAGAUAAGUUUUUGCCAUUAUAAAACUAGUGAAGUUUUAGCAGCAAGAUAUGCAGUUUGUACUGUUUGGAAUGUAAUGGAAUCUACUCCUGUACCUGCUGUUUUUUCCCUUCUCUCCUACGAUCGCCAGCUCCUUUGCCAUCUCUUUUGGAACUGGCCCUCCUGUAAGACCAAGCCCCAAAAAUCGGAAAAGCAGGAGUGGAUACUGGCAGGGUGCACCUUGUACCCAGACCACUACUGGUGCAGCUCUGAUGGCCACAUUGUUGCCCCAGGGUCUUUCUACCUCCCCUUGCCUCCAUGCUCCAUGGAUUGUCGCACAUUGGCAAAAGUAAAACAACAUUGAUUUGCUCCCAAAUUCUCCCAAGCAGCCAAAGAUUACUGUUUGGUUUGCCCUGUCUGCCAAGCCCACAAUGUGGGUAAACCUGUAAAGACAGUUCUGGCAACCAGACCUCCGCCUUUGGGAAUUUACAAAUGGACUUUAUUCAAUUGCCUAAAUGUCAAUUUUUUAAAUAAUGUGCUGGUUAAUGUUUGCUUGUUUUUGAGAUGAGUGGAAGCUUAUCCCUGCAGGAAAGCUGAUGCCAUCACAGUGGCAAAGAAACUUCUAAAUCAUUACAUCCCAUCAUGAGGAAUACCCCUGGUGAUCUCCAGUGAUAGAGGUUAAAGACGCCUUCCAGGAGGUCCCGACUGAGCCGUGCCAUAAACUACAACCAGGAGACUGGGUUUGCGUGAAAGUUCAUCAGCAGAAAACUGCCCUGGAACCCAGGUGGAAGGGUCCCUACCAGGUCCUUCUGACCACCUUAUUGCUGUAAAGUACGAGGAAUUUCCCACCUGGAUUCAUGCCUCCCACUGCAAACUGGUUCCAGUGCCUACAUAGGUUGGCCCCAACAAGGAGCACCGCAGACCUGGUACCAAAAACCCAGGUCCAGAAGUAGACGGGGAUCAGCACAGGCAUGGUACCGCACGUUCAUGCCCAGAAGCAGACGACGUCAGACUUCGAGGGAGCCAUGCACGUUCAUCCCACCACGAAUCGGGUGAACCAGAAGCAGAUGACAUCUGUGCCCGAGGCAAAUGAACUGCUACCCCCUUAGGCAACCUG